rnacentral:misc_RNA from 1 species
AAGUCGUAACAAGGUUUCCGUAGGUGAACCUGCGGAAGGAUCAUUAUGAUAUUGAAUACAUUAUGUAUGUAUGAUGAGUGUGAAGCGGUGGUGCUAGUGUGUGAGUAGCAGUAUGCGGUAACGUAUAUGCGGCUGCAGCAUGCAGAGCACCACGGCAAGACGAUAUAACGUGUGACGUGACAACCUAAACAUAACUUUUAACAAUGGAUCUCUUGGCUCUC